CGUGAAACCGUCCAGGGGUAAACCUGCGAAACUCGAAUGAACGAACGGAGAGAUUCAUCGUCAUUCCUCGGCGCACUGGCGUUGGUUCGAUGUCUGUCGUCCUAUGGUCGGCGGGCACGUAUCGCGUUCGUAGCGCUCCGGGGACGGCGUGCACUUCUCUCUCAGUAAUACAUCGCGACCCGUUCGGUGUCGGUGUAAGUGCCCUCCGGGAGUCUUCGCUUCCUUCGCGUCGUGUAGACCGUGAGGUGUCACCGACCGGCCGCCGGACGGUAUGUAUUGUGAAACGCGCACGCGCUCGCGCGCGUCCGGCCCGACGCAAGGCAACGUCGUAUCCAUCGCCUCCUGCCCGUGUGCGGGGGUGUGUGCGGCGCGCCUGUCGUCGCAGCCGUGCUGUCUCGGACUGUGCGCGUGUCCGUCUGCGA
rnacentral:rRNA from 1 species